CCUACGGGAGGCAGCAGUAAGGGAUAUUGGUCAAUGGGGGAAACUCUGAACCAGCAACGCCGCGUGAGGGAAGACGGUUUUCGGAUUGUAAACCUCUGUCCUCUGUGACGAUGAUGACGGUAGCAGAGGAGGAAGCCCCGGCUAACUACGUGCCAGCAGCCGCGGUAAUACGAAGGGAGCGAGCGUUGUCCGGAUUUACUGGGCGUAAAGGGUGCGUAGGCGGCUUGGCAAGUCAGUAGUGAAAUCCAAGGGCUUAACCUUUGAACUGCUAUUGAAACUGUCAGGCUUGAGUGAAGGAGAGGUAAGCGGAAUACCCGGUGUAGCGGUGAAAUGCGUAGAGAUCGGGAGGAACACCAGUGGCGAAGGCGACCAUCUGGGCUUAAACUGACGCUGAGGCUCGAAAGCAUGGGUAGCAAACAGGAUUAGAUACCCCUGUAGUC
rnacentral:rRNA from 1 species